GUUGAAAUUUCACUUAAUCCUUAUUAGGGAUUGAAAC
rnacentral:other from 1 species